rnacentral:rRNA from 1 species
CACGUAGGGGGCGAGCGUUGUCCGGAUUUAUUGGGCGUAAAGAGCUCGUAGGCGGCUCAGUAAGUCAGGUGUGAAAACUCCAGGCUCAACCUGGAGACGCCACUUGAUACUGCUGUGGCUAGAGUCCGGUAGGGGAGCAUGGAAUUCCUGGUGUAGCGGUGAAAUGCGCAGAUAUCAGGAGGAACACCAGUGGCGAAGGCGGUGCUCUGGGCCGGAACUGACGCUGGAGGAGCGAAAGCCGUGGGGAGCAAACAGG